rnacentral:rRNA from 1 species
GGCCUUUUGAUUAUAAUUUAAGGUCUGACCUGCCCAAUGAGUUUUUAAAUGGCCGCGGUAUUUUGACCGUGCAAAGGUAGCAUAAUCAUUAGUUUUUUAAUUGAAAGCUGGAAUGAAAGGUCGAAUGAAAAAAUAGCUGUCUCUAUUUAAAUUUUUUAGAAAUUUAUUUUUAAGUUAAAAAGCUUAAAUAUAAUUAGAAGACGAGAAGACCCUAUAGAGUUUUAUUAAUUUCUAUUAUAGGCAUUUUAGUAUUAACUUUUUUAUAAUAAGGAUUAAUUUAAUUGGGGUGAUUGAAAAAUUUAAUAAACUUUUUUUAUAUCUUUACAUUUAUUUAUGAAUAUUUGAUCCUUUUAUGAAGAUUAUAAGAUAAAAUUACCUUAGGGAUAACAGCGUAAUUUUUUUAAAGAGUUCAAAUCGAAAAAAAAGAUUGCGACCUCGAUGUUGGAUUAAAAUAAAAUUUUGGUGUAGAAGCUAAAAUAUUUAGGUCUGUUCGACCUUUAAAAUUUUACAUGAUCUGAGUUUAAACCGGUGUGAGCCAGGUUGGUUUCUAUCUCUAUUAAAUUUUAAUAUCUUAGUACGAAAGGACCAGAUAUUUAAUUAAAAAUUUUAUUUAUAGAAUAAAAUUGUUAUUUUGGCAGAUUAGUGCAAUAGAUUUAGAAUCUUUUUAAGUAAAUUAGUUUACAAAUAAUACUUGAUAACAAAAGAUUUGGUUUUAAUAGUAAUUUCUAGCUUAAUUUUAAUUAUCUUUGUCUUAGUUGGAGUAGCAUUUUUAACUUUAUUAGAGCGAAAGGUUUU